rnacentral:lncRNA from 1 species
UUAAAAUAUGAAUAUUUUUAACAUAUUGAAAGGAAAAUCUUAGCAUCAUAUAGGCACAUCUUAGCAUUUAAUAAAAUCAUUUAAUAUUUCUACUAUAAACAUUAGGGAUUCAACUUAAUAAAAUAUCCAUACACUCAGUCAAGGUCAUGUCAAUGACUUACAUAAUUGACAAAAAGAUGAUAAAUAACAACAAUCUAAUAUUAUCUCAAUCUAUAAUUUCAAUAAUCUAAUAUCUUCUGGAAUAUUUAAUUUGAGAACUCACAAUUAAAAUUGAUCUUUCUCAUUAUUUUCUGUUUUUAUUUUUUAAUCUAACACGGUGUGUAUGCAUGUUGGGCCAAUUAGUCUUAAAAUCAAUCAUGUUAUCAAUUAUUUUAUUAGUUGAUUAGUACAAACAUCUAAGGUACAUUUCCUUAUCAAUUUCAUUGUAAAUUUUCAAUUUUCCUUUCAAUAUGUUAAAAAUAUUCAUAUUUUAAUGUCAGCUGUCAAACGUCAACGCAGAGCAGAUAAAAGCAGAUUUGAAUAUCCGACUUUGUCAGUCAGCUGUCUCUACUAGGCCAAGAAUGGAUGGGUGAUGCCACACCCAUACCAUGAAAAAAGUUUUUAUGUUUUUGUGCUACGUGUAUGUUGCCGUUUUUUCUGUUUUUUACUAUUUGGUGUUGUACGGAGGACAAAGAAGUUAGCAUUUGCAAUCAAAAAUCACAUUUAUAUUCAUAAGAUGCACAUGAUUACACCUCAAUUGUGGCGGUACUUUUUACUAUUUGACCAUUAGCUCCGAUGAUGACGUUUAUGUCGAAAGCGCUCAGCUAAGGAAAUAAAUUAUUUACACACUUUGACAUACUACAUUUUUAUUUCCUUUAUUCCAUAAUUGGUUGAAAGACAAUAUGACCAUAUUUUAAUGAUAAUAUAUAACCAAUUUGUAUAAUCCAACUAAUAAAAGAAGUGGAUUAAAGGAACUUGUUACAGUUAAUAAUAAAUAAUUGCACGAUAAUUAUUAAGCAAGAGAAAUUAAACUUCUUUUCUACUUUUAAGGAAAAAAAAGCAAGUAACCGAAUUCAAAAUUAUUUUUCACAUCAUAUUUGAAACAUUAUUUGGUUAAAACAUCUCAUUUUUGUUGGUAAAAAAAUAUAUUAAUUUGUCUUGACUAAAUUACGGUUCUGUUGAUAUCCGAGAACACUUGGUAUUCACACAAUGUUGCCAAACUGAAUUUUGUUACAUUCGGUUUAAAUUUUCUAGUCGAUUUCCGAGCCUACUAUACACUCCAUGGAUAUAUCGCCCAUCGAAACUCUAUGCAGUGAUUCAUGGGCAAUUGUACUUACCUGUCUUAUAAAGAUAUGCUCUUAGAAUUAUCCAUUACUCAUUGCAAAUGAUUAAUUUUAUCAUUAAAUCUAAAUCUUUAAAGAGACUAGCCGAUAAGUGCAUAUUAAUACGUUAAAACUAUUUCACGA